GCAGUUUCUAUACAGAAACUAAACUGUUCACAGCACUGUUCUCCAAUUCUUGGCUUCGUCUGGAUGUCUUAAAGAUUAGGUGUGGACGGUAGGCAUUGUUCACCUGUACCUGGUUAUCUUCUCUCUCAUGCAUACAUAGGAGGCUAAACCUUACAUUUAGGCUGAACUAGUGAACAGCUCUGUUCUUUCAUGCAGUGGCAGUGGCACCCUAAGCGACCUUGUGUUGUGAUGAUGGAAUCAAAAGUUGAGAGCAGCCUGGACUGCCCAGUCACUUGCUGAAUGAAGCCCCCGUGCCUGCCCAGUCCCAGACUCACAAUGGACUGACUUCCUAUGGACAGACGCUCAUCCAGGGAUUCAUUUAACUUUCCCCCAGGUUUGUGGGACACAGAGAAAGAAGGAACUAAACACACCGUCAUUGGAUGGUAACAAGGAUAAUGGCAUUGGAAAUCAUUUGCAAGAGUUCUGUGUAUGAUCGUCUGUUUCCAUAAAAGAAGAAAGUAUCAUUAUUCAACAUAUCCAAAGCAGUGAUGAAUCCUGGUGCCAAAGAAAGGACGAAAGCACUAAAGCACAAUAAUGUCAAAUUGUAGCAACCAGAAGAACUAAGGAGAAAAAAAUAUCAGAGACUCGUAUUAAUCCAUGAACUAAUAAAAAGGACUUUUUAUCACA